rnacentral:misc_RNA from 1 species
GAUGAAGAACGUAGCGAAAUGCGAUAAGUAAUGUGAAUUGCAGAAUUCAGUGAAUCAUCGAAUCUUUGAACGCACAUUGCGCCCGCCAGUAUUCUGGCGGGCAUGCCUGUUCGAGCGUCAUUUCAACCAUCAAGCCCAGGCUUGUGUUGGGGACCUGCGGCUGCCGCAGGCCCUGAAAACCAGUGGCGGGCUCGCUGUCACACCGGGCGUAGUAGAUUUUAUCUCGCUCAGGGCGUGCUGCGGGUUCCGGCCGUUAAAAAGCCUUUUUUACCCAAGGUUGACCUCGGAUCAGGUAGGAAGACCCGCUGAACUUAAGCAUAUCAAUAAGCGGAGGA